UCUGUCUUUCAGACUAUAGGAUUUUGAAGUUCUGUUUCUCUUCAGCCAAGUCGUCUUGCUCGCUUCCUUUGAUGGGCGAUAAUUCAUUUCAAAUCCAGGGAUUUCCGCUAGGCUUACUCGCUAUGGCGGCGACGAUGGUGAACUUACUCGAUUAAUCCCUAAGCCUCCACAGUCUUUUUCAAUCCACAGCAACAAUUCUUCACAUUGAUUUUUAAAGCCACUUACAAGAAGCAAAAUGUUCACGAAGUGCGAUGAGGCAAAAUCACACCAAGACUGUCGGAAGCUGACUAGAAGAAGCUGAAGAGAGCUCUUGGAGAGAGGUUCCUUCGCGGCUCCGAUAUCGAUUUUGACGCUUUAUUCCCUCCCCGAGGGUAUCAGUUUGUGAGUCUACUAAAGAAGUUUGGACCAUACUUCAAACCGCACAUGAAGGAACAAGCCAAGUUAAAGAGUCAAAGAUCGAGCUUUUCUUCCGGGAAUAUGAGUUAUUUGAAAUGAAGUCCAGAGAAAAUAUAACUGACAUGUAUAAAUGAUUCUCUAACUUAGUAAACGAUCUCAAAGGGCUCGGAAAGAGGUUUGAGACGAUCGAAUUGGUGAAGAAGAUUUUAAGAUCAUUACAGAUUCAUGGACCAUAAAGGUAAUGACUAUUGAGGAGUCCAAGGAUUUUAACAAGAUGCGAAUGGAUGAAUUGAUAGGAAGUCUUCUUACCUAUAAAAUGAAGAGAAAACCAAAGGAAGAGAAAGUUAAGACUAAAAGAGAUAUUGCAUUGAAGGCUGUGGAUGAAAAGGAAGAGGAAGAAAAUUCUUCCAUGGAUGAGGAUGAUGUGAGUCUCUUAGCUAGAAAGUUUAGCAAAUUUCUAUCAAGAUCAAAGAAGAACAAAAGAAAAGGGUUUGUUAGACAAAGAGGAACAAAGGAAGAAGGCGAAAAGAGUAACAAUGAGAUAAUAUAUUAUGAAUGCAAGAAACGGGCCACAUUCACCAAGAUUGUCCUCUAAGAAAGAAGAAGAAGGAUAAAAAGGAGAAAAGAUUCAAUAAGAAAGUGUUUGUUGCCACUUGGAGUGGAAGCGACGACUCAAGUAAUAAAAGUGAGUCAGAGGAAGAAAAGACCAACAUAUGUUUCAUGGCCAAGAGUGAUUCAGAAGAUAAGGCUUGCUUACAAUCCUCUUUGAGGUCCUUUGGCAAAUGGUAUCUAAAUAGUGGAUGCUCAAGACAUAUGAUGGGAGAUAAGAGUUUAUUCUCUUCUUUGAAGGCUAAAGAUGAAGGUAAUGUCAACUUUGAAGGUAACUUCAAAGGAAAAGUUAUUGGCAUCAACAUCACAUGUAACUCUUCUUUUUCAAUAAAUGAUGUUCUACUUGUUGAAGGUUUUAGGCAUAAUUUACUUAGCAUAAGUCAAUUGUGUGACAAAGGCUUCGAGAUUAAUUUUUACUCUUUAUGUUACAAAAUUGUUGAUGCUAGCACAAAUGCAUUUGCAUUCAUUGGGUGUAGGCA